ACGCCAAACUCCUCCUCCGAUAGCAAACAAGCCUCCUCUAAUCGCCACCACGUCAGUGAUCUCGCCGUUGAUGUCUACAAAGAGUUCACUCGAAACUCUUGCAAGUGAUCCGAUAUCGGCUGCAAGUUCGCUCACCCUGACUCCGUCGUGGCCGUGGUCAAGGAUAAGGUGAUUGCUUGUGCUAAUUCUCUGAGGAACAAGUGCUAUCGAGGGAGGACGUGCCGUUAUUAUCAUCCUCCUCCUCACAUUCAACAGGGUACAAGGAAAGGUAAAAGCUUAAAGAUGGAGAGAUCGCCUUGAUAAUAGAGACUAGAGCCUUAGUUUCAGCAUUAUCUAUAGGAACUUAUUUUUUGUAUUUGA